AUCAUUAUGAAGCAUAAUGGUUCGCAAGAAUGAUGACUAAUUGUUCAUGUUUGUGUGACUUGUGCCUCCCUUAAGACAUUGGCACAUUAGCCUGCUGCUG